rnacentral:rRNA from 1 species
AGAGAGAGACAUGCGCGCAUAUCAAUAAGCGGAGGAAAAGAAACUAACUAAGGAUUCCCUUAGUAACGGCGAGUGAAGCGGGAAGAGCUCAAAUUUGAAAUCUUCAAGGUUCUACCUUGACGAAUUGUAGUUUAAAGAAGUGUUUUCGGUUAGAGGAGUUUAGUAAAAGUUCUUUGGAAUAGGACAUCAUAGAGGGUGAGAAUCCCGUAUUUGACCAUUAUUUUCUAGCUUUGUGAUACACUUUCAAAGAGUCGGAUUGUUUGGGAAUGCAGUCCAAAAUGGGUGGUAAAUUUCAUCUAAAGCUAAAUAUUGGCGAGAGACCGAUAGCGAACAAGUACCGUGAGGGAAAGAUGAAAAGAACUUUGAAAAGAGAGUUAAACAGUACGUGAAAUUGUCAAAAGGGAAGCGUUUGACACCAGUGUUGUUUUCUCGAAAAUCAAUUAAAAAUGGCAGGAUUUUGUGUUGUAUUGACCUUUAUCAAGCUUUCUUCACUCUUUUCUUGUCUUUUUUAAUGCACUUUUCGUUUAACAAGUCAACAUCAAUUUCUUUUGUUGUAAAAGAGUCAUUGGAAGGUGGCUUUCUUUUCGGAGAAAGUGUUUAUAGCCUUUGGCCUCUGCAAUCGGAGAGAUUGAGGUCUGCAGCGUAGAUCCUUCGGGGUUAGAUACAUUUGUGCUAAGUUAUAGCCUUUCAUAGACAACUUGCUGACUAUGAUCAGUCAUGUAGCUUACUCGCUUAUGCUAUUUUACCUACGCUUAGGAUGUUGACAGCAGUAUAGACUGU